rnacentral:rRNA from 1 species
UACGUAGGGUGCGAGCGUUAAUCGGAAUUACUGGGCGUAAAGCGCGCGCAGGCGGCUCGUCAAGUCUGGCGUGAAAGCCCCCCGGCUCAACCAGGGAGGGUCGUCGGAGACUGGCGAGCUUGAGGGCGGUAGGGGCUGGUGGAAUUCCCGGUGUAGUGGUGAAAUGCGUAGAGAUCGGGAGGAACACCCGUGGCGAAGGCGGCCAGCUGGGCCGUCCCUGACGCUGAGGCGCGAAGGCGUGGGGGAGCGAACGGG